CUGAUACUAGACUUGAGAAAUUCACUUUCUCGAUGUCCAGCUUGGGUGAAGCCAAGUUAAACGUCGUAAGGUUAACAGAACACUGCUACAUUUUUUCGCUUUAUAAAGAUGCCGAAACGUAUGAAAGGAAUGGACAGUGCUAACAGAGACAUAUAAUACAUGUCUCGGGUGCUGAAAAGUUCAUUUCUAAAUUAUAUAAGGGAAGUUUUACCCCCUUCUCUGACAACGUUGUCUCGACCAUUUUUUGAACCAUCUACGAUUAUAUCAUUACUUUUUUUGCGUUUACAACCGAACUGUCGAACCUGUAUUGCUUGAAAGAAGCAUCCCUGUUAUCAAGGGAUUCAUUAUAAGCCCGUAUUUUACGAUUACUUGACCAUACAUGGCUCUUUUUCAAAUGGAUAAGGGAAUAAAACAAAACGAAAAUUUUGUGUAAAUAUAUAUAAAAUAUCGAUAUUUGUCAACCAAUCAUCAAUAUAUCUUAAUUAAAUAUUGCUUUAAAUUUAAUGUAAACAGAGGAUGGCUUGGAUAAGGAAUAGUAUUUAAUGCUAAAAAAAGACACAGGUGUAAACAGGAAGUUAUGUC
rnacentral:lncRNA from 1 species